CCUUCGGGCCUUGCGCUAUCAGAUGAGCCUAGGUCGGAUUAGCUAGUUGGUGAGGUAAUGGCUCACCAAGGCGACGAUCCGUAACUGGUCUGAGAGGAUGAUCAGUCACACUGGAACUGAGACACGGUCCAGACUCCUACGGGAGGCAGCAGUGGGGAAUAUUGGACAAUGGGCGAAAGCCUGAUCCAGCCAUGCCGCGUGUGUGAAGAAGGCCUUUUGGUUGUAAAGCACUUUAAGCGAGGAGGAGGCUACCGAGAUUAAUACUCUUGGAUAGUGGACGUUACUCGCAGAAUAAGCACCGGCUAACUCUGUGCCAGCAGCCGCGGUAAUACAGAGGGUGCGAGCGUUAAUCGGAAUUACUGGGCGUAAAGCGAGUGUAGGUGGCUCAUUAAGUCACAUGUGAAAUCCCCGGGCUUAACCUGGGAACUGCAUGUGAUACUGGUGGUGCUAGAAUAUGUGAGAGGGAAGUAGAAUUCCAGGUGUAGCGGUGAAAUGCGUAGAGAUCUGGAGGAAUACCGAUGGCGAAGGCAGCUUCCUGGCAUAAUAUUGACACUGAGAUUCGAAAGCGUGGGUAGCAAACAGGAUUAGAUACCCUGGUAGUCCACGCCGUAAACGAUGUCUACUAGCCGUUGGGGUCCUUGAGACUUUAGUGGCGCAGUUAACGCGAUAAGUAGACCGCCUGGGGAGUACGGCCGCAAGGUUAAAACUCAAAUGAAUUGACGGGGGCCCGCACAAGCGGUGGAGCAUGUGGUUUAAUUCGAUGCAACGCGAAGAACCUUACCUGGUCUUGACAUAGUAAGAACUUUCCAGAGAUGGAUUGGUGCCUUCGGGAACUUACAUACAGGUGCUGCAUGGCUGUCGUCAGCUCGUGUCGUGAGAUGUUGGGUUAAGUCCCGCAACGAGCGCAACCCUUGUCAUUAGUUGCCAGCAUUAAGUUGGGCACUCUAAUGAGACUGCCGGUGACAAACCGGAGGAAGGUGGGGAUGACGUCAAGUCAUCAUGCCCCUUAUGACCUGGGCUACACACGUGCUACAAUGGACGGUACAACGAGAAGCGACCCUGUGAAGGCAAGCGGAUCUCUGAAAGCCGUUCUCAGUUCGGAUUGCAGGCUGCAACUCGCCUGCAUGAAGCUGGAAUCGCUAGUAAUCGCAAAUCAGCACGUUGCGGUGAAUACGUUCCCGGGCCUUGUACACACCGCCCGUCACACCAUGAGAGUCUGUAACGCCCGAAGCCGGC
rnacentral:rRNA from 1 species